rnacentral:tRNA from 1 species
ACCGGUUUGGCUCAGUGGAUAGAGCAUUGGCCUGCGGAGUCAAGGGUCCCAGGUUCAAUUCCAGUCAGGG